rnacentral:tRNA from 1 species
CAAAAAGUAGCUUACACAAAGCAUUCGACUUACACUCGAAAGACAUUUACCCACAAUCUUUUUGA